ACAUUGCUAUGAUGAUAUAUAAUUUACAGCUUUAAACGCCAGUUCUGCUUCAGAAAAUUCGUGAUUGAUAAGCUGCUAUAUAUAUACUGAGCUUUUA